GUAGGUGAACCUGCGGAAGGAUCAUUAAAGAGACGUUGCCCUUCGGGGUCGACCUCCCACCCUAUGUUUAUCAUACCUCUGUUGCUUUGGCAGGCCCGUCUUCGGACCACCGGCUCCGGCCGGUCCGUGCCUGCCAGAGGACCUAAAACUCCGUUUGUUAAUGCAGUCUGAGUACUAUGUAAUAGUUAAAACUUUCAACAACGGAUCUCUUGGUUCUG
rnacentral:misc_RNA from 1 species